rnacentral:rRNA from 1 species
CGGGGGGAGCAAGCGUUGUUCGGAUUUACUGGGCGUAAGGCGCGUAGCGGUCAGCACAAGUCAGUUGUGAAAUCUCCGGGCUUAACUCGGAAAGGUCAACUGAUACUGUGCGACUAGAGUGCAGAAGGGGCAACUGGAAUUCUCGGUGUAGCGGUGAAAUGCGUAGAUAUCGAGAGGAACACCUGCGGCGAAGGCGGGUUGCUGGGCUGACACUGACGCUGAUGCGCGAAAGCCAGGGGAGCGAACGGGAUUAGAUACCCCGGUAGUCCUGGCCUUAAACGAUGGAUGCUUGGUGUCUGGAGUUUUAUAGUCUCCGGGUGCCGUAGCUAACGCGUUAAGCAUCCCGCCUGGGGAGUACGGUCGCAAGACUG